rnacentral:pre_miRNA from 1 species
AAAGUACUCCCUCCGUCCCAAAAUUCUUGUCUUAGAUUUGUCUAGAUACGGAUGUAUCAAGUCACAUUUUAGUAUUAGAUACAUCCGUAUCUAGACAAAUCUUAGACAAGAAUUUUGGGACAGAGGGAGUGGUUG